AUUGAACGCUGGCGGCAUGCCUUACACAUGCAAGUCGAACGGUAACAGGUCUUCGGAUGCUGACGAGUGGCGAACGGGUGAGUAAUACAUCGGAACGUGCCUAGUAGUGGGGGAUAACUACUCGAAAGAGUGGCUAAUACCGCAUGAGAUCUACGGAUGAAAGCAGGGGAUCGUAAGACCUUGUGCUACUAGAGCGGCCGAUGGCAGAUUAGGUAGUUGGUGGGAUAAAAGCUUACCAUGCCGACGAUCUGUAGCUGGUCUGAGAGGACGAUCAGCCACACUGGGACUGAGACACGGCCCAGACUCCUACGGGAGGCAGCAGUGGGGAAUUUUGGACAAUGGGCGCAAGCCUGAUCCAGCAAUGCCGCGUGCAGGAUGAAGGCCUUCGGGUUGUAAACUGCUUUUGUACGGAACGAAAAGCCCUGGGUUAAUACCCUGGGGUCAUGACGGUACCGUAAGAAUAAGCACCGGCUAACUACGUGCCAGCCGCCGCGGUAAGAC
rnacentral:rRNA from 1 species